rnacentral:rRNA from 1 species
GGUCAAGCUACAAAGGGCGCAUGGUGAAUGCCUUGGCAUCAGGAGCCGAUGAAGGACGUGAUAAGCUGCGAUAAGCUUCGGGUAGGCGCACAUAGCCUGAGAUCCGAAGAUCUCCGAAUGAGGAAACUCACAUGGGAAACCCCAUGUAUCAUUAAGUGAAUACAUAGCUUAAUGAAGGUAACCCAGGGAACUGAAACAUCUAAGUACCUGGAGGAAGAGAAAGAAAAAUCGAUUUUCUUAGUAGCGGCGAGCGAAAGGGAAAGAGCCCAAACCGGAAACUUGUUUCCGGGGUUGAGGACAUAACAUAAAGAGAAGUAAUGGCUAAUUGAAGAGAACUGGAAAGUUCCACCGUAGAAGGUAAUAGUCCUGUAAAUGAAAGCUAGUAUAAUCGAGUU